UACGUAGGGGGCAAGCGUUGUCCGGAUUUAUUGGGCGUAAAGAGCGUGUAGGCGGCCACACAGGUCAGCUGUGAAAACUCGAGGCUCAACCUCGAGACGUCGGUUGAAACCGUAUGGCUAGAGUCCGGGAAGAGGAGAGUGGAAUUCCCGGUGUAGCGGUGAAAUGCGCAGAUAUCGGGAAGAACACCCGUGGCGAAGGCGG
rnacentral:rRNA from 1 species